rnacentral:misc_RNA from 1 species
UCCAUUCACACUGCGCCAUUCCCUCCAUUCGACUUCCCCGCCGAUCAACCUCCUUCUCCGUCACCGACUUCGGAGCCAUCGGCGACGGCCUCCACUACGACACCGCCGCCAUCCAGUCCGCCAUCAACAGCUGCCCCUCGCCUUCUCGCUGCUACGUCACGUUCCCACCAGGCACCUACCUGACCGCAACGAUCUGGCUUCAAUCUGGCGUCGUGCUGGACAUCCAGCCCGGAGCCACCGUGCUCGCCGGGACGAAGAUGGAGGACUAUCCGGCGGAUUCGUCGAGGUGGUACGCGGUGGUGGCGGAGAACGCGAGCGACGUCGGGAUCAGCGGCGGAGGCGCGGUGGACGGACAGGGGCUGAAAUUUGUGGAGAAGUUUGAUAAGAGGAAGAACGUGAUGGUGAGUUGGAACAAAACUGGGGCGUGCUAUGGCGAUGAGUGCAGGCCGGAUCUGAUUGGCUUCAUCAACUCCAACAAUGUUAGGGUUUCCAAUGUUAGCUUCAAUCAGCCUGCUCAUUGGUGCUUGCAUCUUGUUCGAUGUGACAACACAGUCAUUGAAGAUGUUUCGAUUUAUGGAGAUUUCGAUACACCCAACAACGAUGGGAUUGAUAUUGAGGACUCCAAUAAUACGUUCAUUACAAGGUGCAGAAUUGACACUGGGGAUGAUGCAAUCUGCCCCAAGACAUCUAAUGGCCCUGUCUUCAACUUAACCGCCACUAACUGCUGGAUACGAACUAAAUCUUCUGCCAUUAAGCUGGGGAGCGCCAGUUGGUUUAAUUUCACCCAAAUGCUUUUCGACAAUAUCACCAUCGUCGAUUCUCAUCGAGGUCUCGGGUUCCAGCUGCGCGAUGGAGGAAGUGCAAAUGAUAUUACAUUCUCAAACAUGAACAUCACUACAAGAUACUAUGACCCGUCAUGGUGGGGAAGAGCCGAGCCGAUUUACGUUACUACUUGUCCAAGAGAUGGAGGAUCGAAGGAGGGUUCGAUCUCAAACAUACGCUUCAUAAACAUCACGGCAACCUCAGAAAAUGGGGUGUUCUUAUCGGGAUCGAAAUCCGGGGUGCUGAGUAAUCUUAGAUUCACCAACGUGAAGCUGAGUUACAAAAGAUGGACAAAAUAUGGUGGUGGUUUAGUAGACUACAGACCAGGAUGCCAAGGGUUUGUUAAACAUGGGAUGGCAGGGAUGAUAAUGGAACACAUUGAAGGAUUGAAUUUAGAAAAUGUUGAUAUGAAUUGGUCUAAUAAUGAUGGAUCAUUACAAUGGAAUAAUCCUUUGGAUUUCAG